GGUUGGGUUAGCUCAGUGGUUAGAGAUUAGGCCUUGUGACCGGAAGAUCCUGGGAUCGAAUCCCGCCAUAGGCG
rnacentral:tRNA from 1 species